rnacentral:rRNA from 1 species
UACGGAGGGGGCUAGCGUUGUUCGGAAUUACUGGGCGUAAAGCGCACGUAGGCGGCUUUGUAAGUUAGAGGUGAAAGCCCGGGGCUCAACUCCGGAACUGCCUUUAAGACUGCAUCGCUUGAAUCAUGGAGAGGUCAGUGGAAUUCCGAGUGUAGAGGUGAAAUUCGUAGAUAUUCGGAAGAACACCAGUGGCGAAGGCGACUGACUGGACAUGUAUUGACGCUGAGGUGCGAAAGCGUGGGGAGCAA